AUGCAAUUGUGUUUCUGGAAAAGGCUGCACAUAAUAGGAAAUCCUGAGUGUGAAGACUGUUUCCUGCCAGUUGAAGCAUUGUGGUCUUUGGCUGUUCUGACAAUAGCAGAAGUCUUCAAGUUGGUGGUUGGUGACCUGAGUCUGCAGGGUUUUUUCAACCACGAACCAACUCCGGAGUCUCUUGCCGCAGUACCUCUGACGCACAGUGCCAGGGCUAUUGCAGAAGCUGCUGCGUCCCCUUCCAGCAGGCUCCAUCGCUCACUGCACAUCAGUCUUACCAAGCUUAUUCACAAGCUGAGAGGAGGCUCUUCUAGAAUCUCGAAAGCUCCGCAUAAGACUAACGGCAGGCAUCCUUUACCAUCGGGCUGGUGGUGGUUAGUUCCACAACUCCGUUCCAAGGGUCUGCUUCCCAGGAGAACUUCCAGCACCAACUGUCUUUGGUUGAGUUUUUCCUUCCCAGACCCGAGGAUUUGGGUGCAAGUAGUGUAUUUGUGAGGGGAUCCCAGGAAGCACUGGUAGAGAUAGGGAAGGGCAGGAAGCCAAUGAACGGUAUCUAAGCAAGAGCCUUCUGGGGGGACACUGGGCCCUAAUCCCACUGGGAGACACUCCAGAACAUUCCUCAGUUACUUGCUGCCCAGGGGAUGAGAAAGUUGUAGUUACGCACCCACGCCUCCCCUGUCGUUGCCGGAGGGAUGCAUCUGGGGGCACUAACUCAUCGGCAUCCAGAAACCGCCCUGCGCACAAAGAAAAAUCAGGUGUUUACAAAAACAGCUGUUGGUAUUUAGAGAUGGGGGCCAAGGAGAUGCGGGCUGGGCAUGUCAGCCUCUGCUACAAACUUGCAUCAGAACUGAGCAAGGGUUAAGGGUUACCCCACUCUGGUAGCAAUAGCGAUAUCCCCGAAAUUUGACCCAGCCCAAAUGGGGAUGGUGCUUGGAAAGUCUUGGGGGAAGAGAGACCUGGUCGAGCCCGCGUGAUCUUGGUGCUGGACCCACUGGGUAACACGAUGCUCAGGAGUUCCAGUUAGGGUCCAGCACCCUGCCCUGCUGUGUGGGAUGAGUCACCGGGCCGGAUCCCACUGAGCCUUCGCACUGGGAUGCCAGGAGAGGGGUUCCUCUGACAGACUAGCUGCCGCACCUUGCCACCGGGCCCUCCAGCUACAAUUGCCUUGCCCGGUUAGGAAAACCCUUUCAACAGUGACUCCUUGGGUAAGGAUUUCAGGCACAAGCUGUAGGAGAGUAUUCUGAGAAACCCAGCUUUUUGAAGGGCCAAAUUAUAUUGAAAAUAAUAGCAGCAUCUACCCGGCAUCUGCGUGGGGUUUUCAGAGCACGUUCCCGUGUUACAGCUCAGCUGACCCUCACAGCGAGGCAGUGGAGAAAAAUGAGGGGGUAUGUUUGUCCUCAUUUCACAGAUGAAAAAAAUUUGAGCCUCAAUGAGGCUAAGUGACUGUUUCAGGAUUUUUUUUCCCCUCCAUUGGGGCUUGUGGUUCUUGGUCACA
rnacentral:lncRNA from 12 species